CUGGUUUAUAUAAGAAGAGUGGGGGACGUAGAAUCUACAAUGACUUCGUUUGCCGCCUACAUCAGUACAGGAUCAUGAUAUCAGUACAGUACAUGAGUGUUAUGACAGUCGCUCUCGUCUAUAUGUCGGUCAUCACAGAAGGGUUACCAUUAUCUCAUGAAUCUUCAACACUCAUGGACCAGAGCAACGACCAAUCUUCAUCGAAGAGGAUCGAAUCGAAAACUCUCUUGCCCAUGGCGUCCCAUAAGGAGACGCGUUCUGAUUCUUCUGUGACCAUCUAUUGUAAAACACCGGAGUGUAUCGAACAGAUCAAGCUCUUCCUUGCUAGCCACCAACAUGAAGGCUUUGAACUUUUGGGUGGAAGAUGGUAACAGAAAGCAAAGAGUCUGACUGCUUGAGAACUUGAAUAAAACCCAUGUGAAUCUCAAUUUUUUGUCUGAAUGCUGUGUUCAUAUUCAUUGUAACUCUGUUCAACAUAAAAUUUAUUUAUUGGUA